rnacentral:rRNA from 1 species
CUCCUACGGGGGGCAGCAGUGGGGAAUAUUGGGCAAUGGGCGCAAGCCUGACCCAGCAACGCCGCGUGAAGGAAGAAGGCUUUCGGGUUGUAAGCUCUAUCAGCAGGGAAUAGAAAAGAAGGUACCUGAAAAAGAAGCCCCGGCUAACUACGUGCCAGCAGCCGCGGUAAUACGUAGGGGGCAAGCGUUAUCCGGAUUUACUGGGUGUAAAGGGAGCGUAGACGGAAAGGCAAGUCAGAAGUGAAAACCCAAGGCUCAACCAUGGGACUGCUUUUGAAACUGUCAAACUAGAGUACGGGAGAGGA